rnacentral:rRNA from 1 species
UACGUAGGGACCAAGCGUUGUUCGGAUUUACUGGGCGUAAAGCGCGCGUAGGCGGCUUUGUAUGUCGAUUGUGAAAGCCCCGGGCUCAACCUGGGAACUGCAGUCGAAACUGCAAAGCUUGAAUGUUGGAGAGGUUGGGGGAAUACCUAGUGGAGAAGUGAAAUUCGUAGAGAUUAGGUGGAACACCAGAGGCGAAGGCGCCUGACUGGCCAAACAUUGACGCUGAGGCGCGAAAGCGUGGGUAGCAAACAGG